rnacentral:rRNA from 1 species
ACCUCCGGACUGGGGUUCGCAAGCCUCACGGCGAACGUACCUCGGGAAGUUGGUUAAACCUCACUAUUUAGAGGAAGGUGAAGUCGUAACAAGGUCUCCGUAGGUGAACCUGCAGAAGGAUC